CGCUCCUUGAUUUUAAUUAAUAAGGAGUCGGACCUGCCCAGUGAUAAGUAUUUAACGGCCGCGGUACUCUGACCGUGCAAAGGUAGCAUAAUCAUUUGCCCUAUAAUUGAGGGCUAGUAUGAAUGGUUUGACAAGAACAAUACUGUCUCUUUCAAAANUUUCUAGAAUUUAUUCUUUAGGUGAAGAAACCUAAAUAAAAUUAAAAGACAAGAAGACCCUAUCGAGCUUAAACUCUUUUUAUAAAAUAAAAAAAAUUAAUAAUAUUUUUUGUUAUAAAAAAUUUUGGUUGGGGCGACUAAGGAACAAAAAAAGCUUCUUUAUUUAAUAAAGACAAAUAUGUAUUGAUCCAUAAAANUCUUGAUUAAAAGAAUUAGUUACCGUAGGGAUAACAGCAUAAUCUUUUUUAAGAGUUCUUAUCGAAAAAAAGGUUUGUGACCUCGAUGUUGGACUAAAAUUUCCUAAUAGAUGCAGACGUCUUUAAGGG
rnacentral:rRNA from 1 species